GACGGAAGGUGCAAGCGUUGCUCGGAAUCACUGGGCGUAAAGGGUGCGUAGGCGGCCGUGCAAGUCUGGCGUGAAAGCCCCGGGCUCAGCCCGGGAAGUGCGCUCGAAACUGCGCGGCUCGAGUGCCGGAGGGGAGAGUGGAAUUCCUGGUGUAGCGGUGAAAUGCGUAGAUAUCAGGAGGAACACCAACGGCGAAGGCAGCUCGCUGGGACGGUACUGACGCUGAGGCGCGAAAGCGUGGGGAGCGAACAGG
rnacentral:rRNA from 1 species